rnacentral:rRNA from 1 species
GAUGAACGCUGGCGGCGUGCCUAAUACAUGCAAGUCGAGCGAACAGACGAGGAUCUUGCUCCUCUGACGUUAGCGGCGGACGGGUGAGUAACACGUGGAUAACCUACCUAUAAGACUUGGAUAACUUCGGGAAACCGGAGCUAAUACCGGAUAAUAUAUUGAACCGCAUGGUUCAAUAGUGAAAGACGGUUUUGCUGUCACUUAUAGAUGGAUCCGCGCCGCAUUAGCUAGUUGGUAAGGUAACGGCUUACCAAGGCAACGAUGCGUAGCCGACCUGAGAGGGGGAUCGGCCACACGGGAACUGAGACACGGUCCAGACUCCUACGGGAGGCAGCAGUAGGGAAUCUGCCGCAAUGGGCGAAAGCCUGACGGAGCAACGCCGCGUGAGUGAUGAAGGUCUUCGGAUCGUAAAACUCUGUUAUUAGGGAAGAACAAAUGUGUAAGUAACUAUGCACGUCUUGACGGUACCUAAUCAGAAAGCCACGGCUAACUACGUG